rnacentral:rRNA from 1 species
AGAAAUGUUUACAUGGAAGCGUUCUUAGCGGCGGACGGGUGAGUAACACGUGGGUAACCCGCCUCAAAGUGGGGGAUAGCCUUCCGAAAGGAAGAUUAAUACCGCAUAAGCCUACAGUGCCGCAUGGCACCGUAGGAAAAGGAGCAAUCCGCUUUGAGAUGGACCCGCGGCGCAUUAGCUAGUUGGUGAGGUAACGGCUCACCAAGGCGACGAUGCGUAGCCGACCUGAGAGGGUGAUCGGCCACAUUGGAACUGAGACACGGUCCAGACUCCUACGGGAGGCAGCAGUGGGGAAUAUUGCACAAUGGGCGAAAGCCUGAUGCAGCAACGCCGCGUGAGUGAUGAAGGCCUUCGGGUCGUAAAGCUCUUUGAUCAGGGAUGAUAAUGACAGUACCUGAAAAACAAGCCACGGCUAACUACGUGCCAGCAGCCGCGGUAAUACGUAGGUGGCGAGCGUUGUCCGGAAUUACUGGGCGUAAAGGAUGCGUAGGUGGAUACUUAAGUGGGAUGUGAAAUCCCCGGGCUCAACCCGGGAACUGCAUUCCAAACUGGGUAUCUAGAGUGCAGGAGAGGAAAGCGGAAUUCCUAGUGUAGCGGUGAAAUGCGUAGAUAUUAGGAGGAACACCAGUGGCGAAGGCGGCUUUCUGGACUGUAACUGACACUGAGGCAUGAAAGCGUGGGUAGCAAACAGGAUUAGAUACCCUGGUAGUCCACGCCGUAAACGAUGGGUACUAGGUGUAGGAGGUAUCGACCCCUUCUGUGCCGUCGUUAACACAAUAAGUACCCCGCCUGGGGAGUACGGUCGCAAGACUAAAACUCAAAGGAAUUGACGGGGGCCCGCACAAGCAGCGGAGCAUGUGGUUUAAUUCGAAGCAACGCGAAGAACCUUACCUAGACUUGACAUCUCCUGAAUUACCCUUAACCGGGGAAGCCCUUCGGGGCAGGAAGACAGGUGGUGCAUGG